UGGCUCAGUGAGGCGUCCGGACUGGCCCAGGGAGGUGGGCAACUACCACCCAGGGCCGGAAAGCUCUCCAAACUCGGUCAUUUAGAGGAAGUAAAAGUCGUAACAAGGUCUCCGUUGGUGAACCAGCGGAGGGAUCAUUACCGAGUUAUCCAACUCCCAACCCCUGUGAAUUAUACCUUUAAUUGUUGCUUCGGCGGGACUUCGCGCCCGCCGGGGACCCAAACCUUCUGAAUUUUUUAAUAAGUAUCUUCUGAGUGGUUAAAAAAAUGAAUCAAAACUUUCAACAACGGAUCUCUUGGUUCUGGCAUCGAUGAAGAACGCAGCGAAAUGCGAUAAGUAAUGUGAAUUGCAGAAUUCAGUGAAUCAUCGAAUCUUUGAACGCACAUUGCGCCCGUCAGUAUUCUGGCGGGCAUGCCUGUUCGAGCGUCAUUACGCCCCUCAAGUCCCCUGUGGACUUGGUGUUGGGGAUCGGCGAGGCUGGUUUUCCAGCACAGCCGUCCCUCAAAUCAAUUGGCGGUCUCGCCGUGGCCCUCCUCUGCGCAGUAGUAAAACACUCGCAACAGGAGCCCGGCGCGGUCCACUGCCGUAAAACCCCCCAACUUUUUAUAGUUGACCUCGAAUCAGGUAGGACUACCCGCUGAACUUAAGCAUAUCAAUAAGCGGAGGAAAAGAAACCAACAGGG
rnacentral:rRNA from 1 species